rnacentral:tRNA from 1 species
GCGCCCAUAGCUCAAUUGGAUAGAGCAACGGCCUUCUAAGCCGUAGGUUCCAGGUUCGAGUCCUGGUGGGCGUA